UACAGAGACUGCAAGCGUUAUUCGGAUUCACUGGGCGUAAAGGGUGCGCAGGCGGUUGGGUGUGUCAGAUGUGAAAUCCCGAGGCUCAACCUCGGAACUGCGUCUGAAACUACUCGACUAGAGUACUGGAGAGGGUAACGGAAUUCACGGUGUAGCAGUGAAAUGCGUAGAGAUCCGGAGGAACACCAGGGGCGAAAGCGGUCGACUGGUCGAGUACUGACGCUGAGGCGCGACGGCGUGGGGAGCAAACCGG
rnacentral:rRNA from 1 species